rnacentral:rRNA from 1 species
AUUGUAAUCUAACUUUAUUUAAUACUCUAGUAUUAACCUUACACUGUUAAAAUGGUGUUGGAAAAAAUAAAGUUAACAGAUAAAUUCCAUUUGAACAAU